UACGGAGGGUGCAAGCGUUAUCCGGAUUCACUGGGUUUAAAGGGUGCGUAGGCGGACUAUUAAGUCAGUGGUGAAAGCCCCAGCUUAACUUGGGAACUGCCAUUGAUACUGAUGGUCUUGAGUACAUUUGAGGUGGGCGGAAUGUGUCAUGUAGCGGUGAAAUGCUUAGAUAUGAACACAGAACACCGAUUGCGAAGGCAG
rnacentral:rRNA from 1 species